rnacentral:rRNA from 1 species
UACAGAGGUCUCAAGCGUUGUUCGGAUUCAUUGGGCGUAAAGGGUGCGUAGGCGGCGCGGUAAGUCGGGUGUGAAAUCUCGGAGCUUAACUCCGAAACUGCAUUCGAUACUGCCGUGCUUGAGGACUGGAGAGGAGACUGGAAUUUACGGUGUAGCGGUGAAAUGCGUAGAGAUCGGGAGGAACACCCGUGGCGAAGGCGGCUCACUGGGCCGGUCCUGACGCUGAGACGCGAAGGCGUGGGGAGCGAACGGG